rnacentral:lncRNA from 1 species
GUUGGCAGUAUCUGUGUUUUGGUAGAUCUAUGUGAUCGGUGUUGAUUCCUUUGUGGAAUAUUGACUUGCCUUGUGAUUUCUCUUGAAAUAAGCCUCUUCAUUGUGGGAAGUUCGACAUUUGUGAGACCUUUGUGAUCUCAGUUAGUUCCUAUGUGGAAUAAUUGUUGCCUUGUGUAGUUCUAGAAAAAAUAAGUCCUAUAUUUGGUUCUUUGUAAAUUUUUGGAACACUGUUGUAUUUUGUUGCCUGAUUUUUG